rnacentral:rRNA from 1 species
ACGAACGUUGGCGGCGUGCUUAACACAUGCAAGUCGAACGGAAAGGCCCUGCUUUUGUGAGGUGCUCGAGUGGCGAACGGGUGAGUAACACGUGAGUAACCUGCCCUUGACUUUGGGAUAACUUCAGGAAACUGGGGCUAAUACCGGAUAGGAGCUCCUGCUGCAUGGUGGGGGUUGGAAAGUUUCGGCGGUUGGGGAUGGACUCGCGGCUUAUCAGCUUGUUGGUGGGGUAGUGGCUUACCAAGGCUUUGACGGGUAGCCGGCCUGAGAGGGUGACCGGCCACAUUGGGACUGAGAUACGGCCCAGACUCCUACGGGAGGCAGCAGUGGGGAAUAUUGCACAAUGGGCGGAAGCCUGAUGCAGCAACGCCGCGUGCGGGAUGACGGCCUUCGGGUUGUAAACCGCUUUCGCCUGUGACGAAGCGUGAGUGACGGUAAUGGAUAAAGAAGCACCGGCUAACUACGUG